GCCUGCAAAACACGUGGCCAGCCUGCAGGGGGAGCCACCGUGAUGUGUGAGUAGGGCGGUCAGAUGGGAGAGAAAGAGAAGUGGGGCUUGAGCAUCAGGAAGAGAGAUGGAACUGGAAAGUCCAGGGUGAAGAGGAGCAGCCUGCUCUCUAGGGAGAGCUGGCCCUAUCUCUUACAGGCAGCAGCAUUUGGAAAGUGAGCCCUGUGCCUCCACCAAGCAGCACAGUGGAGCUGGUCCUGGUGGCAGGGGUGUGGUAAUUCAGCCUGGAGGUCUUCAUUGUGGGAGAGCUGACCCUGCUAUUUGUCUGUUAUGAGAUGGCAUGGGCCCAGA